AUGCUUUGGCCCUACCUAACGAUGCGACUUUCAAACAGGUUAAACCCUGCCAACCUUUACAAAUGUCAAAAAACUUUAAAGAUGAACUAAAAACUGCGUACGAUGGUUUUCGUACGACAAAUUACGAUCAUUUUUUUCUCCUCUAAUUGUCCCUGGCCAGACCAAGCCAAAAAAGACCAAGCCCAAUAACACCACGCUGCAUGUCGUACAUAAAUCUUACAAAAUAAUCGUUUUGCAUAACACUGCCAACUAAACCUUGUGGGCAAAAACAAAGAGUCAUGCACGUACGUACGUCUACGCAUCUAGCUGUAAUGAGCUUUCUAGACUGAGUAGAUUGUGUUUUCUUUGCAAUUUUAUCCUUUUUUUUUUCUUGUUGUUCACCUUUGUUUGUACAUGUAACCAUUUAUUUUUAUAUUUUUUCUUUCUUCAAAAUGCAACCGAGUGGUUAUAUAAUAUUUAUUAAAAAGAACGGCCAGAAAUCCAGUACAAUGCCGUCAAGCGACUACAACGCCACAGGUGGCAGUGAAACAAAAAACACUGUACGUUGCUAAAAGCAACUCGCUUAUACUAAGGGUUGAAAAGGAGAACCUUGCCGUUAGUAGCCCGGCCCUCUCCAAACAAGUCGCCUCCUCAAGGAUCUGCCGCAACCCCCUUACGCACGAAGGUGAAGCUCCAUUGACCACGUCGUUCCGGUGAGUUCAGGUGGACCAAAAUUCCAAUGUGGUCGCCAUCCAGUAUCCUUAUGAGCCUCACGAGGAACCGAAAGAGAGGCCCACCACUCCUGAAUGUCCGAGCCACAUCCCGCCGCCAGUCUGUCUGGUCCCAAAGCAUCAGGAUGGGCUUCCAAACCUGCCUCACCACAACGCAACCCAGUAGUAAGUGUGAAAUGUUCUCCGGCUCUUGGUCGCAAUUGCGGAGACCUCGCUGGAUGCGGUAGCCCACGCCACUCCAUCUAGUGGGGUCGUUCCACGGCGCCCUGGAAUGUCAAAAAUACACGUCGGUGAGGGGAAUCGAACUCUAGACCUCAUGCAAGAGUCACCAAAAUCAGUUUGGUAACCAACCGAACCAUCUUCUUGUUUAUAUUAAUAGAUUCACCAUAGGCUACCUACUGUCAUAAAAAUAUGUUGCCACCUUUUAUCUUUUUUCCCUUUCCCCUUCCUUUCUUUCACGAGCCCUUAUAGUCGACAUACCCGACCCAAUUAAUACACCACUUGUCGCUGCAGCUAGAUCGUCCUUCAAUGGUCUCCAUCCGUUUGUGCCAUCUCACUCCAAGUUGGUUUCUCCUCACCUCCUUCCACCUACGUUAUCGAUCUCG
rnacentral:lncRNA from 1 species